CAGCCGUAAACUAUGCGCGUUAGGUGUAUCGGUGACCACGAGUUACCGAGGUGCCGAAGGGAAACCGUGAAACGUGCCGCCUGGGAAGUACGGCCGCAAGGCUGAAACUUAAAGGAAUUGGCGGGGAGCACCACAACAGGUGGAGCCUGCGGUUUAAUUUGGACUCAACGCCGGGAAGCUCACCGGAUAGGACAGCAGAAUGAUUGCCGGGCUGAAGACCCUGCAUGACUAGCUGAGAGGUGGUGCAUGGCGUCAGUGACU
rnacentral:rRNA from 1 species